rnacentral:lncRNA from 1 species
GUCCGUCCGACUCGAAGGAGAGCGAGGAGGAGGCGGAGCCAGAGGGCACCAUACUUAUGGAUUGCAAUCAGUAAUUCAUCCAAGCUCUUACCAAGUUGGCUGGAAUGGACUUGGAAAUAAUGUGGGAGUACUCUAUGCUGGUACUGCAUGGCAAGGACUGAAGUAUCUGGAGGAAACUUCAGUGGCCUCAUCUGGGGAAUUGUGUGCCUGCCUGCCUCUACCCUGGCCUUCCUUUACCUUUUGUUUUUACCUGUACUCUUAUAACACCCAUCUGGACCAAGGGACUUUGGUACUGGGAAAACUCUGGCUUCAUCUAAGGAAUUGUGUUCCUGCCCUGUCUGUUAUAGUGCACAUUAUGGUUGUAUUUUGAAUUUAAUUCUUUGUUCUUAUUCCAAUUUUAUAUUGUUACAUAUUUUUCUGUAGUAUGAAAUGUGUACAGUCAUCAUUUCUGUGUGUGAUGAUUCUGUUCCUGCAGACUGUGUUAUGCAAAUUGUGUAAGGAAAGUGGAAGUGAUUAUUAGUUCCUCUAAAGGCUGCUUUCUUAUCACCACCAAUUAUUUUUACAGUGCUGUUUUGCUUAGUGUGAUACUGUUUUAUACUGGGAAAAUUGCAGCUUCCUUAUCAUUUAUCAACUGAAAUCACACAAAGUGAAAUCAUGUUAUAUGAGAGAUGAUUAUAUGUGAACCUUUC